rnacentral:misc_RNA from 1 species
GAUGAAGAACGUAGCGAAAUGCGAUAAGUGAUGUGAAUUGCAGAAUUCAGUGAAUCAUCGAAUCUUUGAACGCACAUUGCGCCCUCUGGUAUUCCGGGGGGCAUGCCUGUUCGAGCGUCAUUAUAACCACUCAAGCUCUCGCUUGGUAUUGGGGUUCGCGGUUCCGCGGCCCCUAAAAUCAGUGGCGGUGCCUGUCGGCUCUACGCGUAGUAAUACUCCUCGCGAUUGAGUCCGGUAGGUCUACUUGCCAGCAACCCCCAAUUUUUACAGGUUGACCUCGGAUCAGGUAGGGAUACCCGCUGAACUUAAGCAUAUCAAUAAGCGGAGGA